GACGGAGGGGGCAAGCGUUGUCCGGACUCACUGGGCGUAAAGGGUGCGUAGGCGGUUGCGUGCGUCCGCGCUGAAAUCCCACCGCUUAACGGUGGGGCGCGUGCGGAUACGACGUAACUGGAGGCAGGGAGAGGAUGGGGGAACUCCUGGUGUAGUGGUGAAAUGCGUAGAGAUCAGGAAGAACACCCGUGGCGCAAGCGCCCAUCUGGCCCUGACCUGACGCUGUGGCACGAAAGCGUGGGGAGCGAACCGG
rnacentral:rRNA from 1 species